rnacentral:rRNA from 1 species
CGCUGGCGGCGUGCUUAACACAUGCAAGUCGAACGGUAAGGCCCUUCGGGGUACACGAGUGGCGAACGGGUGAGUAACACGUGGGUGAUCUGCCCUGCACUUUGGGAUAAGCCUGGGAAACUGGGUCUAAUACCGAAUAGGACCAUGGACUUCACGGUUUGUGGUGGAAAGCUUUUGCGGUGUGGGAUGGGCCCGCGGCCUAUCAGCUUGUUGGUGGGGUAAUGGCCUACCAAGGCGACGACGGGUAGCCGGCCUGAGAGGGUGACCGGCCACACUGGGACUGAGAUACGGCCCAGACUCCUACGGGAGGCAGCAGUGGGGAAUAUUGCACAAUGGGCGCAAGCCUGAUGCAGCGACGCCGCGUGAGGGAUGACGGCCUUCGGGUUGUAAACCUCUUUCAGCACAGACGAAGCGCAAGUGACGGUAUGUGCAGAAGAAGGACCGGCCAACUACGUG